rnacentral:SRP_RNA from 2 species
GCCAGGCAUGGUGGCAUGCACCUGUAAUCCCAGCUACUCGGGAGGCUGAGGCAGGAGAAUCACUUGAAUCCAGGAGAUGGAGGGUGCAGUGAGCUGAGAUCGUGCCGCUGCACUCCAGCCUGGGUGACAGAGCAAAACUCUGUCUCAAAAUAAAUAAAUAAAUAAACAAAUAAAUAAAUAACAUAGUGUUCUUUUUUCUUUUUUGAGACAGAGUCUUACUCUGUUGCCCAGGCUGGAGUGCAGUGGCAUGAUCUCGGCUCACUGCAACCUCCAUCUCCUGGAUUCAAGUGAUUCUCCUGCCUCAG